rnacentral:misc_RNA from 1 species
AGCUUAACAUUGAUGAUGUCACAUUUUGUCAUUUCUAAACUAAGAAUAAGAAUGCAGUCGACCGAGCAGUUACGACCAGAACAACUAGUGGGCCUGGUAGCUCGAUCAGCGGAGGGCACAGCCGCGAAGGGCAUGCCAAUUAAAGGUCAUGAGGACUUGUGGGUUGAGAUUCAAGCGAAUACAUUUAGAAAUUGGGUGAACGAGCACUUAAAGCAUGCUGCCGAUGUAAGUGGCGGUCCUGUUUUGGAUCUCGCCGAAGAUUUUAGAGAUGGUACACGUCUUUGUGUUCUCGUUGAAGUUCUUACUAAAAGACGUUUACCACGAUGGAAUCCAAGGCCGGCGAAUCAGCAUCAUCAUCUUGAAAAUGUUUCGACGGCUUUACAGGCCAUAGAGGCGGAUGGCGUUAAACUCGUCAAUAUCGGAAAUGUCGACAUCGUCAAUGGAAAUUUGAAACUUAUUCUUGGCCUGAUAUGGUCGCUUAUUGUGAGAUACCAAAUAGGCAAGUCCAAGUUCCCUCCAAAGAAGCUGAUGCUUGCAUGGCUCAAGGCUGUUUUACCAGAAUGCAGAGUUAACAAUUUUACAACCGAUUGGAAUUCUGGGAUAUAUUUAAGUGCACUUUUAGAUUAUUGCAAGCCUGGAUUGUUCCCACAUUGGCGUCAACUAGAUCAGGAUGACAAUGUUUACAAUUGCCAAAAAGCGAUGGAAAUAUCGAAACGAGAAUUCGAUAUACCUAUGGUGUUGGAACCAGAAUACCUUGCAUCUCCAUAUUUAGACGAACUCUCGGGAAUGACCUACUUGUCGUACUUCAUGAAAGAAGGAUCACCAGGUUUCCAUGCUACUUUGCGAUGGGUUAACUCACGUUUACCUCAAGCACCAAUACGAAAUUUUACGACCGAUUGGAACGAUGGCAGAGCAUUGUGCGGUAUCGUUAGAAAUUUAGGUGGACCUGCUCCACCCUACGAAAAACUUCACACCGAUCCUUCAGCUUGGGAACACAAUUUGCAAAUGGGUAUCGAUGGUGGUAAAAAACUGGGCGUGGAACCCAUUUUAAAAGCAAAAGAUAUGGCAGAUCAGAACGUCGAAAAUUUGGGCGUUAUGGCGUAUGCGGCGUAUUUUCAAUGGGUGAAACCUCGCCCUCAAGCAAGCGAACAAAUUACUGUUCAUAUAGAUAGUACAUCCGCUAGAGUACAACAGGCAGCACACUUCAAACUAGAGAUGCUUACCAAAGAAGUUAAUACACGAGAUGUUAGAGGUGAAGUCAUAAGUCCCAGUGGACGAGUCGAGUGUAGAUUAACUUGGAAUGGCGUACAUGGAAAAGGGACUUUUGUACCUACUGAAGUUGGAAUGCAUAAGUUAAUGGUGUACAACGACGGAGAAUUACUCAGUGGAUGUCCCUAUUACUUCCGAGUUUUGCCUGCCUUGACCAAAAUCAAAUCACCCGGUAUGGAUCCUUGUGCAAUUGGAUCUAUCGUCGAGGUUCUAGUCAAUAGUUAUGGAACUAGUCACGAUGGGAUUGAUGUUACUGCAUGGUCACCGACAGAAAGACCAUUGGCAUGUCCCGUCAAAAAAAAUGAUGGGGUACAUACAGCAACGUUUCAACCAGAUGAAACAGGUGAAUGGAGUAUAGCGAUAACACAUAAUGGAAAUCAUAUACAAGGUGGUCCAUUUACUUGUUUCGUUUUUGACCCUAAUGGGAUUAAGUUACUCGAUACAGAUGGUGCUAUGCCAGGUCAACCAUUUUCCUUUAUCGUUGAUGCAAGAGGAACAGGAGGUCUUGGCGAUGUAAUCAUAGAUAUAGUACACGAUAAGCAAUCCAUUUCCUAUAGAAUGGAAGAUAUUGGACAUAUGCAAUACCAUGUGUCUUUCGUUCCUUCUGAUGCUGGAAAAUACAGAGUCUAUGUUUACUUCAAUGGAUCAGACGUCAGAGGUUCUCCAUUUUCAAUAAGGGUUGGUACUCAGAAAGGUUCGAGAAGAUCGAAAGAAUCAACAUCGAGUUUAGAACGAUCAAAAGUAUCUUCCCUUGAAAGACGUAUGAAUGGAUUAAAUAUUUCAACAACGCCAACUCGUGGCAGUCCUGUACAAAAGAUUUAUUCCACUUCGACGUAUAAAUCAGCUAGCCCAACACAAAAUGUAACUGAUUACUCACCCGUUCAACAACAUUCAUCCACAUAUAAAAGUUCCAACAAUUAUACAAGCGAAACAUCAACGUAUCAUAAAACAAGUUCUCUGAAUCAUUCGCGUUCUCCUAAUCUUAAUCAAAGUCCUGUAUCCAGAAGCGUUCAUAGUCCCUCGAUGAUCAAAGAAACGAAAGAAACGUAUUCGUCAACGACAUACAAUCAUUCAAAAUCACCAGGAACUCAAACUCCAAGUUUAAUAAAGGAAUCUAAAGACAUUUAUGCAUCCAGCACUUUAACCAGAUCUCGUUCACCAAAUCCAAGUCCAGCAUCUCCAGGAUCACAGAAUUCACCGACUAUCAAGGAAUCAAGAGACAUUUAUCAAACUGGUUCAUUGAAUAGAUCUCGAUCGCCCAAUCGUAGUCCUAUGUUUCGUAGUGCCACGCAAAGUCCUGUCAAUAGAAGUUUUAGUCCAAGAAUAAGUGAUAAAGAAACCGGUUAUAACGGAAGAAGUUUCACGGAUAAUAGUGUCGUUGAUACAAGCAGUAACGUAAGAGUAUCGUCUAUGGUGGGUGGUACUUCUCGUCGAGAUUCUUGGGACGCCAUAGCCAAAACAAAAUCUUUGCUAUCUUAUGGUAGUUUAGAAUCUCUUGCAAAUCUUGCUAAUAGCUCACCGAUUUCUGAACAUAAAACAAGUACUCAAGAUCUUACUAGUAAUGAUUAUAAAAAUAGCCAUCAAGUUUACAGUACGAAAAAUACAACACAAAAUAUAACGAAUACAGAAAAAUUCACAAGUGAAAUUCAAAGUAAUCGUACGCAAACACAUGGUAUUCUUAAAAAUAAAACUAAUAAUUAUUAUAAAAGCGUCGAUACUACUGAUUCUACCACGCAUGAUCGAUAUCUCAAUAAUGGUACUUACGUAUCAACGCAAAUGAAAAAUUCAUCCCUUGUUACUGGGAGUGCUCUUGAAAUGUUGCCUGUUCAUAGGCCAACGACUUUCACCAUUGAUCCGAGUAUAGAUCCCAAUAAAGUUUCUGUUAACGUUACUGGUCCAAAUGGUAAACCCAUACCCAUUCAGAAAUCAAUUCUUCGUGGUUUAACGUAUACGAUAACUGCUGAAGAAGUCGGUGAACAUAUUAUACAAAUUUUGCUAAAUGGACAACACAUUAAAGGAUCGCCAUUUAGGUCACAAGCUUACAAUGCAAGAGCUAUACAAGUUGGUCAUAUACCAAAUGGGGUGGUCAACGAACCAGUUGAAUUCGAAAUUGAUGGUUCGAGAGCUGGUUCUGGAAAUUUAGAAAUUUUGGUAAACGGUGGACAUGUUACGAGUUUUGUUAGAGCGCUAGGUAGUCAACGUUUCUUGGCAUCAUUCGUACCUCACGAGGCUGUAACACAUUUGGUUGAAAUGACAUUCAAUGGGGAAGUCGUACCCGGAUCAUCUUGGCGAGUAACAAUCAUGCCAGCACCAAAGAUGUCAGUUAUUGGUGAUUCUGUCAGAUUGGUACCUGCUGGUAGUCCCGCAUCAUUUGAAUUAUCUGCACUUGGCUUCAGUAAUAACGAAAUAGAUGUACAAAUUUUAACACCUUCAAAGCGACAUAUACCUGCACGAAUAGAAGAAGAAUCUGGUUGUUCUGGAGAAUUUCGUGUCGAAUUUACACCAACAGAAGUCGGAAGUCAUCUUGUAGAAAUAAGCAUCGCGGGACAAAAGCUACCGGCAGGUCCUCUCGUCGCCAAGGUUUAUAAUAGCAGUUUGAUACAAGUCACUGAUGUACCUAGCGCUGUUGUUGGUCAUGCCUGUCAAUUUAGAGUGGAUGCGAGUGCAGCUGGUGAAGGUCAAUUAGAAAUAUCUAUAAAUGAAGGAGAAGUACCAAAUCAUGUUCAAGUUGUAGGCGGCGGACGCUGCCUCGUAUCUUUUACUCCUGAAAUUGCUAAACCACAUUACAUUGAUAUCAAAUUUAAUGGAGAAGCUGUGCGUGGAUGUCCAUUUAUUUGUAAUGUGUCUGACACGAGUAGAGUCACAUUAAAUUUAAAUCAUUUAGAAUUGAUACCUGUAGAUCAACCAGCUAAUUUUCACAUGGAUGUUGAUGGAAGUGGAAGUGCUGAACUUGCAGUUUCCGUAAGGGGACCAAAUAUAGAAUUGCCAGUUAAAGUUACUGGUGACAUUAAUAAUGGCUUCACAGCUGAAUUUGUACCAAGAGAUGUAGGUGUACACUCAAUUAGUGUUGAAUAUAAUGGUCAUCCAGUUAAUGGUACACCAUUUUUAGCUAAAGCAUUUAAUGCAGACAAAGUAUUAAUUGGCCCUGUUGCAAGAGGUAGUGUUGGACAACCUACACAUUUUACUGUUGAUGCAAGUCAAGCUGGUGAAGGAAAUUUGGAAAUUACAAUAUCUGCUCGUAGUCAAAAUAUUCCCACCCAAGUUACACCGCAAGGCAAUGCUCGUUUCUCAGUCAGUUUUGUGCCUUUUGAGGCAUGUGAACAUAUUAUUAAUAUAGCCUUCAACAAACGAACUGUACCAGGCUGUCCUAUAAUAACGAGGGUGGGUGGCGAUAGCCAUGUAACCGUAAGUGGGCAGGCAUUAAACAGUGCUGGUUUAGGAAGGCAAAGCUAUCUUACCGUCAGUAACGUUGCCGGUAGCUUGGAAGAUUUAGAAGUUAAUGUUGAAGGUCGGCCAGCUUUCAGACUACGACAUUACUAGACCUCUAAAAAUAUACUAAUUUCACUCUAACUUUAAUACUUGGACUUUCAUGAAAUAUAUGGUGGUGGGUUCCUAACUACAAUCUCCUGAAGAUCUUUGCGGCCCAAUGGACAGGCCGUACCAGCUCAAGUCACUGACAACAAAGAUACAACAUGCACCGUGGCAUUUACACCAAGAGUAGUAGGCG